rnacentral:rRNA from 1 species
UACGUAGGGUGCAAGCGUUAAUCGGAAUUACUGGGCGUAAAGCGUGCGCAGGCGGUCCGUUAAGACAGUUGUGAAAUCCCCGGGCUCAACCUGGGAACUGCAUGCAAACUGGCAAGCUAGAGUAUGGUAGAGGGUGGUGGAAUUUCCUGUGUAGCGGUGAAAUGCGUAGAUAUAGGAAGGAACACCAGUGGCGAAGGCGACCACCUGGACUGAUACUGACACUGAGGUGCGAAAGCGUGGGGAGCAAACAGG